rnacentral:rRNA from 1 species
CACGUAGGGUGCAAGCGUUGUCCGGAAUUAUUGGGCGUAAAGGGCUCGUAGGCGGUCCGUCACGUCGGGAGUGAAAACUCGGGGCUCAACCCCGAGCCUGCUUUCGAUACGGGCGGACUAGAGGUAGGUAGGGGAGAACGGAAUUCCUGGUGUAGCGGUGGAAUGCGCAGAUAUCAGGAGGAACACCGAUGGCGAAGGCGGUUCUCUGGGCCUUACCUGACGCUGAGGAGCGAAAGCGUGGGGAGCGAACAGG